rnacentral:tRNA from 1 species
UGGGUUGUGGCUCAAAGGCAAAGCACUCACCUAGCAUGAGUGAGGCACUGGGUUCAAUCCUCAGCACCACAA